UACGGAGGGUGCAAGCGUUGUCCGGAUUUAUUGGGUUUAAAGGGUGCGUAGGCGGCUUGAUAAGUCCGUGGUGAAAGCCAACAGCUCAACUGUUGAACUGCCAUGGAUACUGUCGGGCUUGAGUACAGACGAGGUAGGCGGAAUGGAUGGUGUAGCGGUGAAAUGCAUAGAUACCAUCCAGAACACCGAUUGCGUAGGCAGCUUACUAGGCUGUAACUGACGCUGAGGCACGAAAGCGUGGGGAGCGAACAGG
rnacentral:rRNA from 1 species